rnacentral:rRNA from 1 species
CAGGAUAAACGCUGGCGGCGUGCCUAACACAUGCAAGUCGAACGCCCUGCGCAAGCAGGGAGUGGCGGACGGGUGAGGAACGCGUGGGGAUCUACCCAGAGGUGAGGAAUACCGGCGAGAAAUCGCCGACAAUACCGCAUACGCUUCGCGAGAAGCAAAGUCGCAAGACGCCUGUGGAUGAACCUGCGCCCGAUUAGCUAGCUGGUGGGGUAAAAGCCUACCAGGGCGACGAUCGGUAGCUGGUCUGAGAGGACGAUCAGCCACACUGGGAUUGAGAACGGCCCAGACUCCUACGGGGGCAGCAGUGAGGAAUUUUCGUCAAUGGGGGGCCAACCCUGAACGAGCAACGCCGCGUGCAGGAAGAAGGUUUUCGGAUCGUAAACUGCUUUUCUGUGGGAAGAGAACGGACGGUACCACAGGAAGAAGCCCCGGCUAACUACGUGCCAGCCGCCGC